AAACUUUUUCAAGAAUUCGUUCGAGAAUUACCCUAUAAAUUCCUUUAAGAAUUUCUCCAGGUAUACCUCCAGGAACUCAUCAAGGCAUUUAUCCAAGAGCUCCUCCAGGAAUUAUGCUAGGAAUUACUCCAGAAAUUCCUACAAGAGAUCUUCUAGGAAUUUCUCCAGGAACUCCUUUAAAUACUUCUCCAAGAAUUCGACCAGGAAUUACUCUAGGAAUUCCAUCAAGAAUUUAUUCUGGAAUGCCUUCAUAAAUUGCUCCAGGAAAUCCUUCGGGUAUUCCUUUCGAAUCAUCCUCCAGACAUUUUUCCUGGAACUCCUCCAGGCAUUCUUCUAGUCAUUUCUCUAAGAAUGCCAGAUAUUCCUGCAGGAAUUCCAGGAACUCCUUCAGGCAUUUCUCCAGGAAUUCUUCCAAGUGUUCUUCCAGGAAUACAUGCGGGAACUUUUCCAAAGAUUACUUCAGGAUCUCCAUAAAUUUCGCCAGGGUUUCCUCCACGGAUUUCUCCAAGAGUUCUUCUAAAUCACCCAUGAAAAACAAAUCCAGGAAAGUAUUAGGCAGUUAAAAUGCUGAAUCGCACUUAUAUGACUGAUACGACUGAAAAGCCUGGAUAACUAUGAUUGCAAUUUACCGAGCAAUUGGUUGCUGUUCAAAGUCGCUGUCGCUCGUCGGACCUAAAGAAAUAAAUAACUUACGCAUUAUACCGCGAACAUUCUUAGAUCUGUGGUAUUCCUAGAACCGAAUCGAUGCAGUUACAGUGCAUAGAAUAUCGAAAACUUCGGCGGACUUCUGCUGCCUCCAAACAACCAAACCAAACAAAAUACCAAAAUAAGUUAUUCUCAAUACCUGGAUAACCGACUAAUACCUUGUCUUGGUAUGAUACCUGACUUUGGUAUGCUCCAGUCAUGUGUCAGUUAUUCAUUCCUGCUCGGGAAGGGGUUAAGCGAUUUACGGUAUGUUGAAUAUUUCCCAUAUAAGUCACCCUUCAAAAGUUGCAUGCAAGUUUACAUACUAACUUAAAAUGCUUAAAUUUAUCAAAUUUGAUUUGGUAAAACGAAAUAAUUUGCAUGAGUCGUUAGUGUAGAUGUUAAUUGACCAAUUUAUGAUUUGAUUGGUUAUAAAAUAGAUUUACAUGCUUAAUGGCUUGCAGUUAAAAAAAACCCAAAAUCGCAUAUUUUGCCCUAUAAAUUGAGGUAUAGCUCAAAAUUGUGACGUGCUGGAGCAAAUCUGAGCCCAGAUUCGGAUUCAGCGGCCCAAAAUCUGUCAGUUAGCUCUUGAGACAAAAAAUGUUGCGCUGUGUAAUUACUACAUACUCUUAAAUAAUUUCUUUAACAAAAUUGAAUCUGGGCUCACAAGAGACAAUCUAUUUAUAAUCGUUAGAGGGAUGUUACUAAAGAAUGUUAUCGAAAGUUUAGAAGUGUUUCUCUUGAACGUGGGAAAUGCUUCAUCCAGAUUGGAAAUGCUUCCUCAUAAUUAUAAAGAUUUAUUGUAGCAGAAAUAAAUAAAAUCUCGAAAUGUGAGAAUAUCUUCAUUUGAAAUCUCAAAAAAAACUAUUGCCAGCCGUAUUUGAAUAAAUUAACUGAUAAAAAUUCUUUUGUUGACUUGAAAAGUUUUUCAAUGAAGUUUUUACACAUUUUCUCCAUAAUCAUGUUGAAGUUAUCACCGCACGUUAUUAAUGCUUGAAGAGCUUGAAGUUGUUUUGUUUCAGGAAUUGUUUACUAAUUUGCCAGAAUUUAUCGAAAACCUAAUGCAACAAACAUUAGGAAGCAUAUACGAAUUUAUUUUUUUCAUCAAGAGCGUUAAAAAUUUGAAACAUCGUUUAAAUUCGUUUUUUUUAAACAUGUGAAAAUUUGUAAAAUUUUUUUUGCAAUUUCUCAUCGUAAUAGGCUGUUUUACCCCACGCAAAUCUGACAGGAAAAGGCCUACUUUCCCACACCAAAUUAAGAGUGCUGUAAUGGUUCAUUACAGCACUGAUUUGCGUUGCGUAAUGAACCAUUACAGCACUGUUUUUAGUUUCGACCAACUUCUUGAUGCUUUCUGGACGCAGUUUUGAAAAUUUAUGACAACUGCACAGUAUAACCUGCUAUGAUCAGAUUUUCUUAAACAUGGCUAUGAGCAUCAGUAUGCAGUUUGAUGAAAAAGUUUUGAAAAAACUAUCCUCAAGCGGUAAUUUAUGAACUUGCAAAAAACGUUGUACGCAACUCGGUGCAGAACUCGGCAAGCCUCGUUGGAUAAAUGUACGACUCGUGCUGUAAAAAUCGUCAUUCUGCACCUUGUUGCGUAAACUACUAUUAACUUAUUGAUAGUAUGGAACGUAUAACUUCUUUAAAUUCCCUUACCAUAAAAAUUUAUGCGGUAAAUAAAUGGUUCUUACGCUUAAGAAUGCUAGACAGAGAUUCCCAUAUGCAAUGCAUGCAAGCUAGAGUUGAACAGGUUUGCUCAAAUGGCUCGUAAUCAGUUGAUAAGUGUUAAUGUGUAACAUGUGGGAAAAAUAAAACUAAUAAUACUAAUCGUUUUAGUUCUCUACACUAAACGUAUACCAAUCGCUACUACAGAACAAACUAUCAAACGAAACAGCAAUCAACGAGGCGAAUGUCAGGAAGAACGCAAAGAGGUAGACAAGUAAUGAACGGAAACAAUUAAUACCAAAGCAGCACAACCAGAAAGAUCCAAGGGUAAAAAAACGGCACAAAUAGAUACAGAGAGACAAUAAGUGGGGACGAAAACAAAGCUCGCGUGCUCUGGAUUGUAGUGUUUCGAUUGGGUCUCCUAUCCUACCGACGCCAGAUGAUACACCCCUUAACUGUAC